rnacentral:misc_RNA from 1 species
ACGUGACAGAACAACUGAAGCCACGGAGAAAAAGUUUGAUAAUGAAGAUGAUAGCUUCAUUCAAAGGAAUAACAAGAGCAAUAUGUAUGGCAAUCCGUCUAAAUACAACUUUCCUAGUGCAUAUCACCAUAGGUCCCCUCCCACUGAAGCUCAAAAGAAAGCCCACUUUGUGGAGCCUGACAAAACCACUGAAGUUGGUAGGAAGGAGAAACAUAAAGUCAGUGAGGAAAAGGUUGAUAAUGAAGCUGAUAACUUCAUCAAGAGGAAACACAAGAACUUUGAGCUUGCAAAGAUGGAUACUUUUAAGGUCUAUUGAGCAUACAACUAAUGCUUAGCAGAUACACAGUUAUGAAUGAUCACUAGGUCAUACUGAAUCACUAGUAUAAUAAGAUGUCUGUUGUAUCACACUUGAUCAUAGGCUGUCUUUACAGUUCUAUUGACUAUAAAUCUGUAUGCAAGUACUUGAUAUGUAAUGAAACUUGAAG